UACGGGGGAGCAAGCGUUGUUCGGAUUUCCUGGGCGUAAAGGGCGCGUAGGCGGCCACCGCAAGUCGACUGUGAAAUCUCCGGGCUUAACCCGGAACGGUCAGCCGAUACUGCGGAGCUAGAGUGCAGAAGGGGCAACUGGAAUUCUCGGUGUAGCGGUGAAAUGCGUAGAUAUCGAGAGGAACACCUGCGGCGAAGGCGGGUUGCUGGGCUGACACUGACGCUGAGGCGCGAAAGCUAGGGGAGCGAACGGG
rnacentral:rRNA from 1 species